rnacentral:rRNA from 1 species
UACGAAGGGUGCAAGCGUUAUUCGGAAUUAUUGGGCGUAAAGCGUGCGUAGAUGGCAUGAUAAGUCAACCGUUAAAUCCCUUCGGCCUAACUGAAGGUCUGCGGUAGAUACUGUUGUGCUAGAGUGUGGAAGAGAGAAGUGGAAUUCUCGGAGUAGCGGUAAAAUGCGUAGAUCUCGAGAGGAACACCGAUGGCGAAGGCAGCUUCUUGGUCCACUACUGACAUUGAGGUACGAAAGCGUGGGGAGCAAACAGG